rnacentral:hammerhead_ribozyme from 1 species
AUUUGAAUGACGAGUCCCAAAUAGGACGAAAUGCAAAGCCUAGAU